rnacentral:lncRNA from 1 species
GUUAUGAAUCAACAUUUAUUAGUUAUCAUAAUCGUAUGUACACCAAUGGUACAACACUUAUUGAUAUGUAUGAACAUACUUUUAUACCACAGAUCUGGUAAAGAAAAUAAAUCAGAUAUUUUUUGUCUUUAUUUUGUAAUAUUCUGUCUCCCAGACAUACUCUCUCCCUUUACAUCAAAAUUACAGCAACAGUUUUACAAAUAAGGGACAUCCUAGAACAGUAAGCGAGGGAGCGAAAGGUAGGGCAGGAGUGAGAAAGGUUAUCAGGUCUACUCAGGAGGAGCCUAUCAGAAAGACAGAGACUUCUGUAGAAUACAGACUUGAAGAUAUACUGGCUCAUCUUAGAAAUACUGUGCCAACCCAUUUCCAUUUGAACAUCCUCUUUACUCAAUAUUGGGUUUGUUUGUGUGUGUGCAAACAAUUGUGAUGAAAAUGAAGAUAGGCAAAAAGGCAAAGUUACCAAUAUGUGUCUGGAUAGGUUUAUGAAAUGGUACUGGUGGGUUGAUAGUUCUGGAUAGACAGAGGCUAGUGUAUGGAUAUGACACUGGGGCUCAUUACAGUUACUGUCUCUAACUGUAAGGAAUAAUCUAAACAUGAAUUAUGACUGUUUGGUGUAAAUAUGUAUGUCUUGUAGUUACCACAAUAUGAUGCAUAAAGCACAAGACAAGGAGGCGGACACUGAUGGUGAGUGUGGUGUUCUCUGUUAGAAAGUCUAGAUGAUUCCUGGAACAGGAUCUGGGUGACCACAUGAGGAGCUAUAUUUUGUUAGGUGCAAGGCCAGACAUUCUGAUCAGAUUUGCUAUUUUAGUCAUAAUGAACGAGCUAAGCUGUACUUGUUUCAUUAGUUAAUGGUAAAUUUGACCUUUUCCUCUUCCUCUGGAAACCUAGUCAUGAUAACAUCCACAUUUCACCAACUUAGAAACAGCACAUCACCCCACAUGGACUCCUUUUUUUAAUCAGAUAGUUUCUCCUCUUUCUAUUUGUCUUUCCAGUUCAACAUUGUGCGCUUCAGAAUCAUUGUGAUCUCUGGAACAUGUAUGCACAAUGAAAAUGAAUGGACACAACUUAUAUCUCCAUGGAACAAACAUUCAAAACGCUUACAUUAGAUACAAAAAAAGAUAUGUAUAUAUUGAUGUGUGGCAGCUAAGUGAGAAAACUAGUUAACAGCUAUUAACAAAUAAUAAUAAGCAAUUUAUUACACAUUAUUUUCUCGACAUUUUGACUAAUCUAUUUUUAUUCAGAACAUAGAUAAUAUUUCUCUAGAGGAUUACAAAAAACUGUCACAGCAAUUAAUCUCUAUUCCUACAUACCAUGUCAACCCCCCCUCCCAAAAAUAAAACAAAAUAUUUGUUACCUUCAAUAUGUACACAAAGUGCAAGGAGGCACUUCAAUAUCAUGCUUUUUAAGAUAGUGGUGCAAAACAAAUAUCAUCAUGUUUAACUUCAUGCUCCUACAACAGUGAGUUUGAACAUAAUAGUGUUCCAACACUCAAUCCCUAUGGUGACACACUGGUCAAAGGUCAGGGGUUUUAGUGCUGUGCUCAGCAUCUCACUCAUUGCAUGUUAGAAUGUGUGUGGUGACCUUCCAGGUUUAAUUGUGUGCGUAUGUGCAUGCAAGUGUCGUAUGUGUGUAUGUGUUGUGUGCGACUGUGCAUGUAUGCGAGUGUGCAUACGUGUGUGUGCAUAAGUGUGUGUGUGCGGGCAUGGGUGUGUGUGUGUGUCUGUGCAUUGUGUCUGUGUGUGAUGGCAGUGUCCAUGCAGCUCUUACAGCAGAACGCCAUUGUGUGCUGUGGCGUAGAGAAGCACACUUUGUUAUACAAGUUAUACAAGUGGCAUUGAUAUUCUGACUGAGAAAGUGUUUCAGGUAACUAAAUGACUGUGUGCUGCACUAUGAAUGCUUGUUAAGUUUUCUAGUGUUACUUUAAUCGGCAUUGUUAUAACGGUCAAACUGACUGCACAGUUUGGAGUUAACAUCUUCAAAGCAAGGUUGUCAUUGAACAAAAUAAACAAAACUAGACCAUAGAGCAGGACACGACACAGAUAAAGAAAUGACAUCCACACCUGCAGAACGCCUCACCUGCACAAAACGUCUCUCAUACAGUCACAUACAUGUAUUAAAGAUUAGCAGCCAGUGAUCUAACUUCAUGUGGGUUUCUCUUUUUAGCCAGUUUGGUUCCAUUAGGGGAUAGAAUUCUCCUACCUUAUUGUUGCCAUGUUUGUAGUGGCCAUUUUCAGGCACCAAGAUGACUGCUAUACAUUAGUAACAAUAUGAGACCAAUGAUACACACAGCUGCAGCAUUCAGGGUCUCUGAGAACAGUCGUCAUCGUCUGUGGUAAUAGGUUGUUUACUCACAAAGGAGACCCCACUCUUGGGGUGGAUAAAAAUAGUUUAGGAUGUAAAUACUGCCAACUGGCCACUAGUUGUGCAGUGAGUUAUCAACCUGUUGAAACUUGCGGUCUUAUUACUUUUUUAACUUCUAUGGUUGUUCUGUGGCAUCUUUGAUAAUAUAUGUGUGUUUGUACUUUCAGGCACUAAGGGAAGCCAAGAAAAUUGGAGUCACUGGAAUGGUAAAGUUGGAAAAAUUGGCAAAUUUCUGUGUGCUAAAAAUAAUCCCUUAAUUAAAGUAGCUUACUUAGGAAUAGUUGUAAAGGGAAACUUUGUCUCUGUCAUAUAGGUGCAAGAUAUGCAAAAAAUGUUUCUCUUUAAAAAAUAUCAAGGUGUUAAACAGUCGAUGUGUUCAAAGUCACAGCUUUCAUAUUUAAGUUGUGCUAUAUAAAGGCAAGUGUCAAUAUCCUAUUUUCUUUCAUGAGCAGGUAAACAUGUUGAGGGCUUGGUGAAAGUGUAUCUUUCCCUGCCAAGGAGUUAAUGCUACAGCCUGAGUAUAGUUUCCCUUUAUUGGGUUCUUCGAUUACAAAUGUCAAAUGUGAAAAGAGACCUGUGUCAAAAAUGGAUAAAAAAUGAUCUAGAACUCUUUCAUCCUCAAAGCUGCAAUUGUGCUAUUUGUACUUCUCAGUAUUACAUUAGUUUUCAGUUUUGGAACAACUUGAUUUUUGCUUUACUUGGCAUAUUAAUCAUGGUUCUAGAUAUCUUCCUAGAGCCUUCACAAUUUACACUUGGUUCUCAUUAUUUUUAGCCUCAGAUAAUCAAAUUGAUAGCUUCAGUGGAAGGGAGAGGGGUCUGAUAAAUACCUCCUACACUUCAGUACUUGGACUAAUUUAUAUGAAAAAGAUCCCUGAACUGAAGCUAUUGAUAUAUUGGUAUCUGGGGACAAAUUUCACCUUUACUUUUCUGUUUGAGGCAUUGCAGUAAUUGCGUGAAGAGAUCUUUAUGUACCUCUUGGUAUAUAAUUUGUAGGAGUUGAAAUGAGUAAUGAGACACCAUCUUCACUUGGAGUUAGCUACAAAUAGAUUGUGUACAGAGUAAGAAACCCCGAAAGACGAUAGAAAUGACCGUCAAUAAGUCAUGGAGGUGUUUCAAAGGCUUCUGGCUUGAUUGAUUAUAUGCCUGUUUGGUCCCUAUUAGUAACUGGGGAGAUAUGUCAUGUUCUCACCCCCAACCCAUCCACACAUAUACACACAGCCACACACCCAAAUCACACAGAUACAGUAUAUAAUCUCACACUAGAAGCUAGAAGCGACAUUUAAGAAGUCCCUUUCCCUUACAGUAGAAAAAAGAACGUAUUACAAUAAAAAAGGGAAGUAGAGGUUCCAUGUUUCAUAUGUGUUUUGUGCUUUUGAAUUCCAGAGAACAUGUGCUUGUGGAGUAAGGCUCAGGCUGCAGACCCUGCCCUUAUAGGUAUGUGUCUCUGUAUUCUACAGUAUCACCACCCUAAUUCCCCCUGGGGAAUGUGGGUAAUAUCAGGUAACAAAGACACUCAGAUAGGUCACAUGGGCUCUGUCAGGUAUAGGUCAAAGGUUAACUUGUGAGGAAAAAGGGGCCAGGGCUCAACAGAUGCCUACUGUGGUAUCAUUGGUAAUAGUAAUGACGUGUGUAAUAAUGUAAAGUUUGAUACAGGCAUUCCUUCAGUCUAGCAUGACUCACACUCUUAUCUUCCACACAUUGUCUGUUGUUAGACUGCCAAAUUGCCAGUAACAAACUCACAGCUACCAUCACAUUCUGGAGGACUGUUGUUCCAAUGUUACUCCCCCAAACUCUGACCCUCCCCCUGCUUUGAAUGCAGUACUCUUAUAGAUGCAGGAUGCAUAUAUUUCUAGGAAUAAUUUAUGUUGUACAAAUGUUUGCUAUGAAGCAAACAUUAGUGCUCUAACAGGUCAAACAUACCUUUGUUAUCGUCUCACCGAUAAGUGAAUUAGUAUUAGUCCUCUUAGUCAGUCAGAUAGACGGUUAGAAACACUGUAGGAACUAAUACAAACAUUUCAAAAAAGAAAUAAAACUACAUAAAAAAAGACAAUUAGUAGUUUUGUUCGCAUGACUCUUUUUUUCACCAGAUAGGAAAGCAUGUGGAACUGGGGAUCUGUGUGCUGGCUUUAUUCACGUUUCUGGGGUUCCUCCUCAACAAGCAUGCACUCCGCCAUGGUCGCCGCAGCGGUAGAGCCAUUAGUGGUCGAGGUUACCUGAAAGCAAUCACCAUGGACAUCUAAACAGCAGGUUUACACAUCUAUGUAAACAGGCACAGUGCAUGCUUCAUGACCUGGACUGAAUACUUUGGAGCAAAGGCAGCAGAAGAACUGUAGAACUACUCUGAUUAUUUGGUUUGCAUUUGGCUGCACCUACAUUAUAUACUUAAAGCCUUUUACUUUCAAAUUGUACUUUUCCAAUUGUUUUAAGUGUCAAAAUAUCAACGAAAGACUAUCAUAAUGAAACAAUUGGUUCUGUGCUCCAAUUAUAUGAUUGAUCACAAUAUAAAAGAUAGGUGUAUACUGAAGGUAUCAGGAAGACCUGGACAAUCACUGAGGAUCAUGCUGAUGGAAUCACGGUGGUCUGUCUUAACAACGAGCACCAGACCUUUUACUGACCUGAGAACAAUCAACAUAUAAUCACAAAUUUAACAUGCAGUGAAAUACAGAGGAUCUUAAUUUGACCCUGCUUCUCACAGCAGGAAAAUAAUGAUUCAGCCGCAGCAAAUGUGAAUUAUUAUGCGGAUUAUAAUGAAUAGACAUUUUUGUAGGGGUUGAUACAUUCAGGGGUUGGAACCGAUUUAGGGAACAGAACCAAAAACCAAAUAAAUAAAUAAAUAAUAAAGAAUCAGAACCGGGAACUAAAGUGCUCUGUUCCGGAACAGAACCGUUAUUUUAAAAGCAUGGGAACCGGUUAAUAAUGUUAUUUUACAUUCCGGGACCAAUUUUUUUAGUCCCACAAAAAACGCAAUAAGGCGCCUACGCAAAGCCCUCACUCUGUCACUUAGAAACUCAUUCCAGUGUCUUCCUGCCAGCUGAAAAUCUUUGCCAGUGUGUGUGCGCGUGUAGGCUACCUACCCCUCCCCCUCCGAAGCUUAAGCUACUCUAGC